UUCGGCACACUGUCCAGACGUUUCCUCCCUUGCCUGUGCUGGUUCAGGCUGAGGCUGUGGAGUCAGCCCUGAGGGAGGAGGGGUGUGAGGAAGAGAACGGCCGGGAGACUUCUGCUGAGGUUGCUGAUGUGCCUUUUCUUCUCCAGCCCUGAAGAGGGGAUUUGCAAGUUGUGGCAUGGAGGGUUAUGGCCUGCCACAGAUGUUCACAUCUGAAUCCUGGAAGCUGUGAAUAUGUUAUAUUAUGUAGCAAAGGAGGAUGGAGGUAGCUGAUCAGCUGACUUUAAUGUAGGGAGACUGUCCUGGAUUAUGUGAGUGGGCUCCAUGUAAUUGCAAGGGUCCUUAAAAGUUGCUAAUCAGGAAGAAGGAGGCAGAAGAGAGAACCAGAGAGACGCCAGCAUGACAAGGACCCAACUCACUGCUGCUGGCUUUGAAGAUGGAGGAUGGGGCCACCAGCCAAGGAAUGCAGGUGGCCUCUAGAAGCUGGAAAAGAAAAGGAAAUGGAUUCUCCCCGGAGCCUCCAGAAGGAAUGAAGAUCUGCUGACACCUUGAUUUUAGUCCAGUGAGGCCCAUUUUGGACUUUUUUUGUUUGUUUGUUUGUAGACAGGGUCUCGCUCUGUCACCCAGGCUGGAGUGCAA
rnacentral:lncRNA from 10 species